CCAGAAAAAGAGAAAGCAAGACAAGAAGUCGAAGAAAUAAUUUGGUCGCUUUGGUUAGCGUUUGAUUUGAAAAUUUUAUCUACUUCUCCUACUUCUCUUUCUUUUCCACUGUUCUCUAUUUCUAUUUUUCUUCUUCAAUUUUCUCGUCUUUGGUGAGAU
rnacentral:ribozyme from 1 species